CUUGCUUUUGUCAAAGCUCGCCUCUUAGUUUCGACUACAGCCCCAACUACUCCUCCACAGGGAGAACAACUAGAAGCCUUUCGCGGUUCAUCGAUUCUACAACAAACAACAACAUUCGUCACAGCAGUGGAAUUUAUGUUGUAUAGGGUGUUGUUCCGUCGACAGUUUCUUCGGUGCAUCCGUGAUGAAGUGUCGUCGAAUGUCGAACGGGCGGUUUGGCGUUCGUGCACAGCUGGCUUCACCGUCCACGCCGGUGUUGGUACAGUUCGCCGUUGCAUGUACGGAGCUGUCUGUCCAGCAUAUUCUAGGAUGUCCGACGGGCUGCACGCGGAUACUGGAGCCACCGACCACAUGCAGCGGAGGUGAACUGCGGCUCAUCUGUGCUGACGGCAACACUGAGAGGUGCGGCGCAAAGCUAACCCAACGAAUGACUUUCACCACUCCAAUCUGAGUCGGCGUGCUGACACCCUCCAUGCACUAUGUGACUAUGCACUGUUUCAUAUACGUGGUAACACGGUACUAGCUACCACCAGCACGGAAAGUUUUAUUGUUCUGUUACUGUGGCUUUGGUGGUAAGAUGAUUGGAUCAAUGCCCGGUACUGCUGCAGAGGUCAUCGCUGCUCACGGGUGACGUCAGUUGAGCCUGGGUGCAUCACCAUUGCCACGAGAUAAAGCACUCAUUACCUAUCCAACAGUCUCGUCCCUGCAUAUUUGUUUUAUUUUAUUCCCGCCUGUCUAUGUUGUGCACAUAAUAUUUUCUGUGGUCUUCUUCUCCGGUCUGUAUUCUCGUUUUCCUCCACUUUUUCAUAGGCAGUAGUUAUGUUGUCGUUGCCCUUUGUACGGCGUUCGCCGCUGAGUACCUCCACCUACUAUGUUGUCGGUGCCUUGCCCCUUUUGGCGUUGCAGGUUUAGCCACUGCACGCGUGCGUAUAUUUAUUUCCCUGAUUUUCUUCUCCGAUAGAAUUUCCGACUUGUUUCU